rnacentral:rRNA from 1 species
CCUACGGGUGGCUGCAGUGAGGAAUAUUGGUCAAUGGUCGGGAGCCUGAACCAGCCAAGCCGCGUGAGGGAUGAAGGUACAGAGUAUCGUAAACCUCUUUUGUCAGGGAACAAAGGCGGGGACGUGUCCCCGGCUGAGUGUACCUGACGAAAAAGCAUCGGCUAACUCCGUGCCAGCAGCCGCGGUAAUACGGAGGAUGCGAGCGUUAUCCGGAUUUAUUGGGUUUAAAGGGUGCGCAGGCGGUCUGUUAAGUCAGCGGUCAAACCCGGGGCUCAACCCCGGCCCGCCGUUGAAACUGGCAGUCUCGAGUGGGAGAGAAGUAUGCGGAAUGCGCGGUGUAGCGGUGAAUUGCAUAGAUAUCGCGCAGAACUCCGAUUGCGAAGGCAGCAUGCCGGCUCCACACUGACGCUGAGGCACGAAAGCGUGGGUAUCGAACAGGAUUAGAUACCCCUGUAGUC